rnacentral:rRNA from 1 species
CAAUAGCAUAUAUUCAUAUUGUUGCAGUUGAAACGCUCGUAGUUUUUCAGGUGCAUUUCUUUGGAUCCUUAGUAAAAUAAGUUUCCGCUAGAAAUGUGUUUUGUGACAUUUGUCGCAGAACAUUUCACCUUGAAUAAAUAAUGUUGCUCAAAUGUUGAUUCCUUCCAUGUCCUUUAGCAUGGAAUGGAAAAACAUGUUUCAGCACAUUAUAUCAGCUCUUGUUGCUGAAUAAAUAACUUUAAGAACGGUUGGUGGCAUUCAUAUUUGGCUGUCAGAGGUGAAAUUCUUAGACCAGCCAAAGAUGACCAACAGCGAAAGCAAUUGCCAAGAACGUUUCUAAUGA